rnacentral:rRNA from 1 species
AUUGAACGCUGGCGGCAGGCUUAACACAUGCAAGUCGAGCGGGGGAAGGUAGCUUGCUACCGGACCUAGCGGCGGACGGGUGAGUAAUGCUUAGGAAUCUGCCUAUUAGUGGGGGACAACAUCUCGAAAGGGAUGCUAAUACCGCAUACGUCCUACGGGAGAAAGCAGGGGAUCUUCGGACCUUGCGCUAAUAGAUGAGCCUAAGUCGGAUUAGCUAGUUGGUGGGGUAAAGGCCUACCAAGGCGACGAUCUGUAGCGGGUCGGAGAGGAUGAUCCGCCAAACUGGGACUGAGACACGGCCCAGACUCCUACGGGAGGCAGCAGUGGGGAAUAUUGGACAAGGGGGGGAACCCUGAACCAGCCAUGCCGCGUGUGUGAAGAAGGCCUUAUGGUUGUAAAGCACUUUAAGCGAGGAGGAGGCUACUUUAGUUAAUACCUAGAGAUAGUGGACGUUACUCGCAGAAUAAGCACCGGCUAACUCUGUGCCAGCCGCCGCAGUAA